GCUGGUAGGGCUUUGCUGGGAGCAUCAACAACGCAUAUCAGGGGAUACUGCCAGAAAGUUUCAUCCACUGCCGAACUCGAUCGCUCAUUUCGUCGUACUUGUAUUAUGUUUGGUGCUGGGGCCGUAACGGCUUGUAAUAUCCUUUAUUGCACGUUUCACACUAAACUGAAUGAAGUCCGGGAACAG